rnacentral:SRP_RNA from 1 species
UGUUGGGCCUUGCGCGACAUGGCUUUGUGAACCCCGUCAGAUCCGGAAGGAAGCAGCGGUAGCAAAUUACCGUGUGCGCUGCGAGAUCACCCAGCAAUU